rnacentral:lncRNA from 13 species
GUAUUAUUUAUUUUUGCUAGUGUAGAUUCAUGAAUUCCUUUUUUUCAACUGGCUGAAUUCAUUUCUCUGAUUAUUUUGACCCAAAUUGUCACAGGUUUGGUCACAUCAAGCUGAUGCCUAUAUCUAUUUGCAUUUUCUUACAAUCAGGCACAAGAUAUUUCAGGCUCAUCUUUGUUUUGGCUCACUCCAGCCCUGGAAUUAGCUUAUAUAUAUAUAUGUGUGUGUGUGUGUGUCUGUGUGUGUGUGUAUAUGUAUACGUAUGUGUGUGUGUAUAUAUAUGUGUUUGUGUGUGUAUAUAUGUGUUUGUGUGUGUAUUUAUGUGUGUGUAUGUGUGUCUGUAUAUAUAUGUGUGUGUGUAUGUGUGUAUAUAUAUGUGUGUGUAUGUGUGUAUAUAUAUGUGUGUGUAUAUAUGUAUGUGUGUAUAUAUAUGUGUGUAUGUGUGUAUAUAUGUAUGUGUGUAUAUAUAUGUGUGUGUAUAUAUGUGUGUGUAUAUAUGUAUGUGUGUAUAUAUAUAUGUGUGUGUAUAUGUGUGUAUAUGUGUGUGUAUAUAUGUAUGUGUGUGUAUAUAUGUAUGUGUGUAUGUGUGUAUAUAUGUGUGUGUAUGUGUGUGUAUAUAUAUGUGUGUAUGUGUGUGUAUAUAUAUGUGUGUGUGUAUGUGUGUAUAUAUGUGUGUGUGUAUAUAUAUGUGUGUGUGUAUAUAUAUGUGUGUAUGUGUGUGUGUAUAUAUAUACGUGUGUGUAUAUAUGUAGGUGUGUAUAUAUAUGUGUGUGUAUAUAUGUAUGUGUGUAUAUAUGUGUGUGUGUAUGUGUGUAUAUACGUGUGUGUAUGUGUGUGUGUAUAUGUGUGUGUGUAUAUAUGUGUGUGUAUAUAUGUAUGUGUGUAUAUAUAUGUGUGUGUAUGUGUGUAUAUAUGUGUGUGCAUAUAUGUAUGUGUGCAUGUGUGUGUGUAUAUAUAGUGUGUAUAUAUGUAUGUGUGUAUAUAUAUAUGUGUGUGUAUGUGUGUAUAUAUGUGUGUGUAUAUAUAUAUAUAUAAGCUCCUUUUGUAAA